AAGUACUAACAAAUGAUGAAGCAAGCUUUUUGCUCCGCUAUAGUGACACUUGAAAUUCCUCCAUUGUUGUAGCGAGUUUAAAUUUAGUUGAACUGAAGGUUUGGUUCUGCUCUGUAAAUGGCGAUUGACGAUAACGAGAGUUGCGGAAGCCGAGCUAUGGAGCCGUCGUCUCCGAAGCACAGCAGGUUGCAGAGGCAGAAACUUCAAGCUUUUAACGAAGUGUUGAGUCGAUUACAGGAUUUGAAUCUCGAAGAAGCUCACCUCCCUGGCUUUGAAGACCAGCUUUGGCUUCACUUUAAUCGCCUCCCCGCUCGAUAUGCAUUAGAUGUGAAUGUGGAAAGAGCAGAAGAUGUGCUCGUGCAUAGGAGAUUACUGCAACUAGCGAAGGAUCCUGAGAAUAGACCUGCUUUCGAUGUUCGCCUUGUGCAGGUGCAUCCCACCUACAAUGGAAUCUCAUCCAACUCUGAUGAUGUAAAUUCUGCAGUUAAAGAAGAAUACCCAUGCAUCCAUCCUCCUCCAACAUUUGGUUCAUCAUCAAAUCUACAGCCCUUUGAAAUUGAUGAUAAUAAUGCUCAUGUAAAUGAUGGAGAAAGUGAUGCCAAUUCUACUUCAGGGACAACCAGGUCCAUGCACGAGAUUACUUUUUCAAUGAUUAACAAGCCAAAGUUGCUGACUCAGUUGACUUCUAUAGUUUCUGAGAUUGGUCUGAACAUUGAGGAAGCUCAUGUUUUUUCGACUGCCGAUGGUUUCUCCUUAGAUGUCUUUGUGGUUGAUGGAUGGCCAUAUGAGGAAACAGGAUUGCUGAAGGGUGAGCUGCAAAAGGGAAUAAUGAGGAGCAAGGAGCAACCACGACAUUCCUUGGUUGCUAAGAAUGGGCAAGGUCAAACAAUAUCUGAAUCAGUUUCUAACUGUGUUAAAAUACCUACUGAUGGAACUGACGACUGGGAAAUCGAUCUUCGUUUGUUGAAGUUGGAAAACAGAGUUGCUUCUGGGUCAUCUGGAGAUCUGUAUAAAGGCACGUAUUGUUGCCAGGAAGUAGCUAUAAAAGUUCUGAAGCCAGAACAGUUGAAUAUGGAUAUAUUAAAAGAGUUCUCACAAGAGGUCUUCAUAAUGAGGAAAAUUCGGCACAAAAAUGUUGUUCAAUUUAUAGGGGCAUGCAGGCAACCUCCAAACCUAUGCAUCGUGACUGAGUUCAUGUCGAGAGGAAGUAUUUACAACUUUCUGCACAAACAAAAAGGUGCCUUUAAGCUCCUUACUCUCCUCAAGGUUGCAGCUGAUGUCUCUAAGGGAAUGAAUUAUCUGCACCAGAAUAACAUAAUUCAUCGGGAUCUGAAGACUGCCAAUCUUCUAAUGGAUGAACAUGGAGCUGUUAAGGUUGGCGAUUUUGGGGUUGCCAGAGUGCAAGCUCAAACUGGGGUGAUGACUGCAGAAACUGGAACAUAUAGAUGGAUGGCUCCUGAGGUAAUCGAACACAGACCAUAUGAUCACAAGGCCGAUGUUUUCAGCUUUGGUAUAGUGCUGUGGGAACUUCUGAGUGGAGAAAUACCAUAUGCACACUUAACACCUUUACAAGCAGCAAUAGGCGUUGUGCAACAGGAUCUACGGCCAAGAAUUCCGGAACAUGCUCAUCCAAAGCUUGUGGAACUUGUUGAGAAAUGUUGGCAGCAAGAUCCCACUCAAAGACCUGAUUUUUCAGAGGUUUUGGAUAUUCUCAAGCGUCUAACCAAAGAGGUUGGGCAUGACGGGGAGGACAAGUCAAUUGGUGGCUUUUUGCCGGCUCGUAAAAAGGGCCAUCACUGACAUCUGGUGCAGGGGUUUCAGGAUCUGUCACAAUGUAUAGAGUUUGAGAUGUCCAAGAGUUAGAAACUCGUCUCAAGGUGUCGUGAGACUAUUGCCAUGGCCCAUGGGAGUACAAUUUCUCUUCUAUUUAGUUAAAUCAACCAGGCUUUAACGUAAAUGCUGUUAUUCUAUUUAGUAUGUCAAAAAUGUCUUCUUAGAUUAAGAAGGGCAGACAAAUUUAGUUAACUAUAUGGUUAGUGUAAAACUGACAACCAUUUUCUUUAUGAGCUGUCUAUC